UAGGAUGCAAACCUGCUUCUAAUGCCAUUUCUGCUUUGAGCUUGAUUUCAUUAUCUGUUUCAUAGCCUCUUUCCGAAUGCCCAAGAAUUACAUACGUACAUCCUAACUCUUUAAGCAUUUCUGCACUGACUUCACCCGUAUAAGAACCUGAUUUUUGGUGAUAACAGUUCUGCGCUCCUAUACUAAUAUUACUUUUUAGUUCUAUUCUGUCCGGAAAUGAUGUAAAAGGCGGACAGAUAAUUAACUGCGAAGAAAUUUUAUCACUCUUUUUAUUGAGCUUACCUAUAAAAUCCACAAAUGAAGACCGUGUCCCAUUCAUCUUCCAAUUUGCUAUGAUUAAAAAAGACAUUAUUUUACUUAGACUAUUAGUCCUU